CUCUCUUCACGUUCUCUCCCCUUCCUCCCUCUCUACAACCAGUGAUUCGCCGCUGCCGUCACCUCUGCCGCCGGCGUCAAGCCUCCAGGGAGCGAUCCCUUCCAGCUACCCAUCAGACACACACCCGCGGCCCCCGUUCCCCCUCACGGGCCCCGCGUCUCUCUCGAGGCGAGACGAGCCCGCCCGCCUAGGGUUUCCGCCGCCGCCGGAGAGGGAAGGGGAGGGGGUGAGGAACUGAACCGGAGCACGAUGGCCGGACGACUCCUCGGGCAGCUCCUCGUCAUGGGCGGCGCCGUCGUCGGCAGGGCCGUGGUCCAGGCCUACCGCCAGGCAAUCGUCAGUUAUGAAGAUGUGUCCAUCCGGAGCCAUUAAAACAAUAUGCUACAUAUACUGGGUAGAUAUCUCUGAUUAUUCCGUUAUUACGGCGGGCGAGGAGAAACAAUAUGUACCGUGUAGUAUGCUGAAGUUCUCAGUUCAUGGGAUCAUUGGUUGGAUCUUCUUCCAAUGCCACAACACGUGUAUGGACACUGUAGAAAAAAAUAUGUGAGGCGUUUUGCUGCAAUCUAUCCAUACUGCCCAGCGCAUGUUGUAAGUGAAGUUUCCUAUGAGAUUGCUAACAGUUUAGUGAACGUAACUGUCGCAGUUUAUUCUGUCCCUAAAACAGAUGUAGAUGAAGAAUUAAUAUGUUGUUGCAGAGAAGAUAGAUAAUGUGGUGUCUGAGUUUUAGCCUAGAAGCAGACACAUAGUCCAUGAACAACAUAUUAAUUUUUCCUUAAGAACGUUGCAACUGUCAUCUGGAUUGGGACAAAUUUAUCCGAGUUGAUACUAACUCCAUCCUUGAUUUCAUCAUAUAUGUUUAGGUGUUUACUUCUUUUUCUACAACCACCAGCACUCAAAUUUCCCAUCUAGACAUGUGUGUACUCCAUGUUUCAUUGAAUAAACAAAAGAAGAACCAUAGACUCACUGGCAGGUUCCUUAUCUUUCUUUUUGUUGAGAAGGAGUUCAUGAUUAUGAUAGAACUUGGCAAGCUUCAUUGAUAAUGACAAUUAUUGUUAGAUGCAAUUCAGGAAUAUAUCUUGACCAAGUGAAUUUUCUUAGAUUAUGGCAUUAUGCACUCCUAUACUUUUAAGGAUUUGGUUUUCCCAACAUUACACGCUAUACAUGCAUGUUUGUCACCUGCACCUAAUUUACAUACUGUAUGCGUUGCCACUUGGCACUUCUACCCUUUUUCUAUUCUCCAUAUCGUGUAGCUAUUGUUUUCUAAAUUUUCCAUGUAUGCAGAUAGCAGCCAAUUAAUAGAAGCUAUAACUACAAAAGUAACAGCAGCCUGUUGGUGCUCUUUUAUGAUGUCUACUUCCGACUGAAUAUUGGUUGGCAUUACAAAGCUAGGCACCUGAGCUAUUUACAGAAGGAGGGGACCCGACCUUCUUCAUGUCCCGCGGCAGUGUUUUCCUUUGAUCCGUUCGUGCAACAAGGAGGGGACCUGGCCUUCUUCAUGUCUCGUGCAACAAGGGUGAUGGACAUUGACUACGACAACCUGGUGGGCGUCGUGCUCUUCAACCACUCAGAGGUGGACUUCGCCGUGCAGCCUGGCGACCGCACUGCACGGAUGAUUGUCGAUGUGAUCGCGACGCCGGAUGUCGCCGAGGUGGAGGACCUCGAUGCCAUCGUUCAGGGUGAGGGAGGAUUUGGGUCCGCCGGCGUCUCAACUCCGAGCCUUGCUAGAUACAUGUAGAGAAGUGGUCUGUUUAGGCUGGUGGUGGAACAUUAGGGAAGGUACCCACCUUUGGUUGUGUGCGUUUAAUUUAUUUUGCACUGGAUGUGUCCCUGAUUUCUAUCUAUGAAUAACGCAUGUAAUUUUUUUUAA